rnacentral:rRNA from 1 species
GGUGAACGCUGGCGGCAUGCCUAAUACAUGCAAGUCGAGCGGCCGGACAGUGAGCUUGCUCCUCUAACGUUAGCGGCUGGCGGGUGGGUAAGGCGUGGAUAACCUUCCUCUUAUACUGGGGGAACUUCGUAAGACCAGUUCUAAUACUGCAGCAUAUAUUGUACCGCAUGGAUCAAUAGUGAAUCACGGUUUGUCUGUUACUUAUAGCUGGUUCCGCGCCGGAUUAGCUAGUUGGUAAGGUAACGGCUUACCAAGGCGACGAUGCGUAGCUGACCUGAGAGGGUGAUCGGCCACACUGGAACUGAGACACGGUCCAGACUCCUACGGGAGGCAGCAGUAGGGAAUCUUCCGCAAUGGGCGAAAGCCUGACGGAGCAACGCCGCGUGAGUGAAGAAGGUCUUCGGAUCGUAAAACUCUGUUGUUAGGGAAGAACAAAUGUGGAAGUAAAUACGCAUGUCCUGACGGUACCUAAAGAGAAAGCCCCGGCUAACUACGUG